rnacentral:rRNA from 1 species
GGACCCGCACAAGCGGUGGAGCAUGUGGUUUAAUUCGAAGCAACGCGAAGAACCUUACCUGGUCUUGACAUCCCGCUGACCGUUCUUUAACAGGAACUUCCCUUCGGGGCAGCGGUGACAGGUGGUGCAUGGUUGUCGUCAGCUCGUGUCGUGAGAUGUUGGGUUAAGUCCCGCAACGAGCGCAACCCUUAUCUUUAGUAGCCAGCAGUUCGGCUGGGCACUCUAGAGAGACUGCCAGGGAUAACCUGGAGGAAGGUGGGGAUGACGUCAAAUCAUCAUGCCCCUUAUGAUCAGGGCUACACACGUGCUACAAUGGCGUAAACAAAGAGAAGCAAUCCUGCGAGGGGGAGCAAAUCUCAAAAAUAACGUCUCAGUUCGGAUUGUAGUCUGCAACUCGACUACAUGAAGCUGGAAUCGCUAGUAAUCGCGAAUCAGAAUGUCGCGGUGAAUACGUUCCCGGGUCUU